AAAAGGUUCUCAUGUCGUCGUUUCUGAUCUCAAAUCAUUUGCACGCUUAACUGAAACUGACUCACAGGAAGUGCCGGCAACAUAGUAACAAGAAAUAUCAAGAACAAGCAACAGAAAAUGAGACCUUUAAUCAGUCUUCUUUGCCUUUGUGCAGUUCUUGUGGGGCAGCUCGUAGCUAGUCCCUUGCCUCAAUAGGAACCAACUGAAGAACCAGAAGGAACAGAACCCCCAGAGAUAUAGAAACUCCAGAAGCAACAGAAGCCCCAGAUGAUAUAGAAGCUCCAUAGGAAACAGAAGAACCAACUGAAGAACCCGAAGGAAAGUAGUACAGUAAGAAGAGGCGAAGACUGGCGGACGACUAAAUGUCCUCAACACGAUCAGCAACAAUUUUACAUU